UACAGAGGUCCCAAGCGUUGUUCGGAUUCACUGGGCGUAAAGGGUGCGUAGGCGGUCGGGUAAGUCUGGCGUGAAAUCUCCAAGCCUAACUUGGAAACUGCGUUGGAUACUAUCCGGCUCGAGGAAUGGAGGGGAGACUGGAAUACUUGGUGUAGCAGUGAAAUGCGUAGAUAUCAAGUGGAACACCAGUGGCGAAGGCGGCAUUCUGGACUGCAACUGACACUGAAAGACGAAAGCCAGGGGAGCAAACGGG
rnacentral:rRNA from 1 species